rnacentral:rRNA from 1 species
UAGGGAAUCUUCCGCAAUGGACGCAAGUCUGACGGAGCAACGCCGCGUGAGUGAAGAAGGAUUUCGGUUCGUAAAACUCUGUUGUUAGAGAAGAACAGCGCAUAUAGUAACUGUUAUGCGUGUGACGGUAUCUAACCAGAAAGCCACGGCUAACUACGUGCCAGCAGCCGCGGUAAUACGUAGGUGGCAAGCGUUGUCCGGAUUUAUUGGGCGUAAAGCGAGCGCAGGCGGUCAAUUAAGUCUGAUGUGAAAGCCCCCGGCUCAACCGGGGAGGGUCAUUGGAAACUGGUUGACUUGAGUGCAGAAGAGGGGAGUGGAAUUCCAUGUGUAGCGGUGAAAUGCGUAGCUAUAUGGAGGACCACCAGUGGCGAAGUCGACUCUCUGGUCUGUAACUGACGCUGAGGCUCGAAAGCGUGGGUAGCAAACAGG